CCUACGGGUGGCAGCAGUGAGGAAUAUUGGUCAAUGGACGCAAGUCUGAACCAGCCAUGCCGCGUGCAGGAAGACGGCCCUAUGAGUUGUAAACUGCUUUUUUACGAGGGUAAACGCAGAUACGCGUAUCUGUCUGUAACUAUCGUAUGAAUACGGAUCGGCUAACUCCGUGCCAGCAGCCGAGGUAAUACGGAGGAUUCAAGCGUUAGCCGGAUUUAUUGGGUUUAAAGGGUGCGUAGGCGGUCGGAUAAGUUAGAGGUGAAAUCCCGAGGUUCAACUUCGGAAUUGCCUCUGAUACUGUUCGGCUAGAGAGUAGAUGCGGUAGGCGGAAUGUAAGGUGUAGCGGUGAAAUGCUUAGAGAUCAUACAGAACACCGAUUGCGAAGGCAGCUUACCAAGCUACUUCUGACGUUGAGGCACGAAAGCGUGGGGAGCAAACAGGAUUAGAUACCCUUGUAGUC
rnacentral:rRNA from 1 species